UUUUUUUUCCCCUCCUUAUUCUGAAAUGAGUGAAGAGACUAAUCCUGGUGCAUAUAGAGAUUCGAAUGCGAUUCUCACUAUAACAAAGGGAAUCAGCGAUCCCUAUGACUUACGUCAGUUCUGCUUUUGUGGAAGCACAGAACGCGGACUUAGGAUGGCAGCCCUUCGAGAGGGAGGCGGGGUUUAUUUCCCACACCACAUCUCUCCCUUGGGCUGUCUUAAGUUUACGUUUGUUUACGGUUGUGUUAGACGGUGACGAGUCAGUGUCCCCAUAAAACUGGGAUGCUCUCGAAUAGGAAUAUUGUAGCACUUCACCAGUACCUGAGGAGGAUGUUGUAUCUGUUUAUGAUAAUAUUGUCUUCGUUCUUCGUGAUUUUGUCAGACCAUAUGAAAGUGAUUAUAUUCCGUAUUUAAAAUACUGUAAUUGGUUCUACGUUGACGUAUUUGAUGGGGGACUGAUGACCUUAGCUGUUUAGUCCCCCUUAAACAUCCCAACAACCAUCACCACGUAUUUGAUGAUGGUUUGGGACAGCCUGCGAAUUUCCUAAGCGUUUCAUUCAUAUUAUAUUUAUGGUUUGUUAUGUUAUAUUACAUGAGCUAAGUUUUCGCAUUGCGACAUGGAGAUAAAUCUUGCGACAGUGUUUUUGCGCACAUACUUACGUUUAUUGUACUUUAUUUAUGAAUGAUAUAAGGCUGGUGUGUACAGAGAAAGUGACAUAAUUUUUGCUCUGCCCAAUAAAAUCUCUCUAGUUUCUGUGACAUCGUAAAAGGAACGGCUUUUACUGUGAUUUGUGUGCUGGAAUGGGGUGAUGUUGCAUGUUAGUGUUUUAAGGAAUGGAAUACGACCAUGAAAUAAUCGUUUGAGAGUUCUUGGGGCUGUACAUCUGAACACCUCAUGGCCCAGAGAUCUCCAAGAUAUUACAAGUGAUUUGGCUCCAGUCACCACCCGGGUGUUCCCGUGGAACAGUGACAGCCUAUGGUUCAUUGUCUCUGCUGCUACGCAUCGUCUCGGGAGAAGUAGCAGCUCCACAGUUUGGAAAGUCAUAAAAAUGGCUAGGAGAGUGGUGUGCUGACCACAUGUAUCUCCAUACCGAGUGCAUGAUGCUUCAAGGCAGAGGAUGACACAGCAGCUGGUAAACAUCCUUGGGCCUUAAAGACCUAAAUGAGGGGCACAUAAUUAACUUAAAAGAUAUUCAUAUUUAGACAUAUCACAAAUUUGCCAACUGAACCCUUGUUUGAGAUUCCAGAAUUUGAUUGUUUCUG